ACGAACGCUGGCGGCGUGCUUAACACCUGCCAGUCGAACGGAAAGGCCCCUUUGGGGGUACUCGAGUGGCGAACGGGUGAGUAACACGUGAGUAACCUGCCCUUGACUUCGGGAUAACUUCAGGAAACUGGGGCUAAUACCGGAUAGGAAUCCUUGCUGCAUGGUGGGGGUUGGAAAGCUUCGGCGGUUUUGGAUGGACUCGCGGCUUAUCAGCUUGUUGGUGUGGUAGUGGCUUACCAAGGCUUUGACGGGUAGCCGGCCUGAGAGGGCGACCGGCCACAUUGGGACUGAGAUACGGCCCAGACUCCUACGGGAGGCAGCAGUGGGGAAUAUUGCACAAUGGGCGGAAGCCUGAUGCAGCAACGCCGCGUGCGGGAUGACGGCCUUCGGGUUGUAAACCGCUUUCAGCAGGGGCGAAGCUUGUGGUGACGGUACCUGCAGAAGAAGCACCGGCUAACUACGUG
rnacentral:rRNA from 1 species